rnacentral:rRNA from 1 species
AUUGAACGCUGGCGGCAGGCCUAACACAUGCAAGUCGAACGGAUAAAGGAAGCUUGCUCCUGGUUUCAGCUGCGGACCGAUGGGUAAUGCCUAGCAAUCUGCCUGGUCGUCGGGGCUGACGUCCGGAAACGGGCGCUAAUACCGCAUCCGUCCAGAGCUUGAAAGUGGGUGACCCUCAGACAUCAGGCUCUCCGAUGACCCUAAGUCGGAUUAGCUAGUUGGUGGGGUAAAGGCCUACCAAGACGACGAUCCGUAACUGGUCUGAGAGGAUGAUCAGUCACACUGGAACUGAGACACGGUCCAGACUCCUACGGGAGGCAGCAGUGGGGAAUAUUGGACAAUGGGCGAAAGCCUGAUCCAGCCAUGCCGCGUGUGUGAAGAAGGUCUUCGGAUUGUAAAGCACUUUAAGUUGGGAGGAAGAGCAGUAAGUUAAUACGUUGCUGUUUUGACGGUACCAACAGAAUAAGCACCGGCUAACUUCGUG